rnacentral:tRNA from 1 species
GAGGGAAUGACUGAUAAAAAGUGAUAAAUUGUAAAUUUAUAAAUGAUUAACAAUCUUCCAUCA